rnacentral:rRNA from 1 species
GAUGAACGCUGGCGGCGUGCCUAAUACAUGCAAGUCGAGCGAACCACUUCGGUGGUGAGCGGCGAACGGGUGAGUAACACGUAGGUGAUCUGCCCAUCAGACGGGGACAACGAUUGGAAACGAUCGCUAAUACCGGAUAGGACGAAGGUUUAAAGGUGCUUCUGGCACCGCUGAUGGAUGAGCCUGCGGCGCAUUAGCUAGUUGGUAGGGUAAAGGCCUACCAAGGCGACGAUGCGUAGCCGACCUGAGAGGGUGAACGGCCACACUGGGACUGAGACACGGCCCAGACUCCUACGGGAGGCAGCAGUCGGGAAUCUUCGGCAAUGGGUGAAAGCCUGACCGAGCAACGCCGCGUGAAUGAUGAAGGUCUUCGGGUUGUAAAGUUCUAUUAUAAGGGAAGAACGACUUUAGUAGGAAAUGGCUAGAGUGUGACGGUACCUUAUGAGAAAGCCACGGCUAACUACGUGCCAGCAGCCGCCGUAACAC